UACGUAGGGUGCAAGCGUUAAUCGGAAUUACUGGGCGUAAAGCGUGCGCAGGCGGUUCUAUAAGACAGAUGUGAAAUCCCCGGGCUCAACCUGGGAACUGCAUUUGUGACUGUAGAGCUGGAGUGCGGCAGAGGGGGAUGGAAUUCCGCGUGUAGCAGUGAAAUGCGUAGAUAUCGAGAGGAACACCAGUGGCGAAGGCGAGUCUCUAGACAACUCCUGACACUGAGGCACGAAAGCUAGGGGAGCAAACAGG
rnacentral:rRNA from 1 species